rfam:Hordeum vulgare subsp. vulgare, WGS project CAJW01000000 data, contig: morex_contig_1570587
UAUAUACUCCCUCCGUCUCAAAAUUCUUGUCAUAGAUUUCUCUAGAUAUGAAUGUAUCUACUCCAGUUUUUAGUAUUUAGAUACAUCCAUUUAUAGACAAAUCUAAGACAAGAAUUUUGGAACGGAAAAAUUAUAAA